GUACAAGUUCAGAUCACUGGUGCAGAACAAGUAACUUCCUCUAUGAUGGUUACUCUCCAUCACUAGAUCAUCUACAGAUUGUAAGAUCAUGCAAUUGAUAUUGCUCAUGCCUCAAUCUCUUCAAACGCCUUGCUCAUCCUUGCAGAUACUGAGCAAACUCCUACAAUAGUCCAGAUUCCACGGAAAAUUCCUAGAUCAGAACUGAAACAGCUCAUUCCAAAAGCCUGGCUUACAAACUAUGAG
rnacentral:misc_RNA from 1 species